rnacentral:rRNA from 1 species
AGGACGAACGCUGGCGGCGUGCUUAACACAUGCAAGUCGAGCGGUGACCCUCCUUCGGGAGGUGAUCAGCGGCGAACGGGUGAGUAACACGUGGGCAACCUGCCCCUCACACUGGGAUAACCUCGGGAAACCGGGGCUAAUACCGGAUACGACCUCGAGCGGCAUCUCUUGAGGUGGAAAGCUCCGACGGUGAGGGAUGGGCCCGCGGCCUAUCAGCUUGUUGGUGGGUAAUGGCCUACCAAGGCGACGACGGGUA